AGAGUUUGAUCCUGGCUCAGGACGAACGCUGGCGGCGCGCCUAACACAUGCAAGUCGAACGAGAGAUGAGGAGCUUGCUCUUCAAAUCGAGUGGCGAACGGGUGAGUAACGCGUGAGGAACCUGCCUCAAAGAGGGGGACAACAGUUGGAAACGACUGCUAAUACCGCAUAAGCCCACGGCUCGGCAUCGAGCAGAGGGAAAAGGAGUGAUCCGCUUUGAGAUGGCCUCGCGUCCGAUUAGCUAGUUGGUGAGGUAACGGCCCACCAAGGCGACGAUCGGUAGCCGGACUGAGAGGUUGAACGGCCACAUUGGGACUGAGACACGGCCCAGACUCCUACGGGAGGCAGCAGUGGGGAAUAUUGCACAAUGGGGGAAACCCUGAUGCAGCGACGCCGCGUGGAGGAAGAAGGUCUUCGGAUUGUAAACUCCUGUUGUUGAGGAAGAUAAUGACGGUACUCAACAAGGAAGUGACGGCUAACUACGUG
rnacentral:rRNA from 1 species